rnacentral:rRNA from 1 species
GGAUGACGUCAAGUCCUCAUGGCCCUUAUGGGUAGGGCUUCACACGUCAUACAAUGGUCGGAACAGAGGGCUGCCAACCCGUGAGGGGGAGCUAAUCCCAGAAAACCGAUCGUAGUCCGGAUGGUAGUCUGCAACUCGACUACGUGAAGCUGGAAUCGCUAGUAAUCGCGGAUCAGCAUGCCGCGGUGAAUACGUUCCCGGGUCUUGUACACACCGCCCGUCACACCAUGGGAGUGGGUUUU